rnacentral:rRNA from 1 species
AUGGAAAAAGGAAGAGACGAAGACAAUGCUGAAGCACGAGAGGAAGAGAGGCUAGCGAAUCUUAAAGCAAGAAACGGUGAGGAUUUUGCACGAUUUGGGUCUUUCAGAUUUGCAGAUGCUAACGAAGUUUCUGGAGGCAAAGCCAGUCAGCACCAAACUAAAAGAAACAAGAGCACCGUAGAAAAGCCUACUGUUGAAGUAACUUGA